GGGACUGGCAGCGACGACGGGGCGGGGCAGAGGCCGUCUUAGGGUGUUGGCUGUGAAGAGGCGGCUGUGGCCGAGAAGCGACGCAGGCGUCUGCGUUAAACAAUAAGCGAAUUUCAGAAGCCUGGGAAGUCCAAGAUCAAGGUGUCAGCAGAUUUGGUGUCUGGUUUAUUCCUAGAGAUGUACAGCAAAGGGAAGUCUGCUCAACAUUCUGCAAAAAACAGCUCCUCAGCAGCCUGUGCUCUCUUGGCUGUGAUAGUCAGAGCCCUGGUUUGGGUGUAAGUAAUAGCACCUGGUGCUGGUGCGUGAUGAGCACCCUAAAAUGCAUCUUUUAUCAUGCCACUUUUCUACUCCAAAACCUUCAGUGACUUCCUAUUGCCUUUUUGUUUUUUUAAACAAAGUUUAAAGAAAAUAGUACAUUUAUCUAUCACUGAAUCUUAUUUAUUGAUGAAUAUUAUUUCUCUCCUAGGUCUUACUAAAGACAUGUGGUAUCCUUUUAAUAUUAUUAUUAACCUGAACAACUUUACAGGAAAGAAGGUAGUAAACAGUAAACUAUAUUUAUGUCACUCCAAACCUUUGAACUAUGAAAUCACUAAACGUUAGCACUGAGAAUGGCCUUGAAAUCAGUCGAGAUCAACUCCUUCAUUUCAUAGGUGAGGAAACUGAGAACAAGCAGAUAAAUUGCUCAGAUAUGGAUACCCAGCCAAGGGGAGGCCCUGUCACAACUAGAACUCAGCUUUUCUAUUCUCUCUUUCUUUCCACUACACUACAUUAUAUGUAUAUUUACAUAUAUACAUUAUACAUAUAUUUCUACAUCGUUUAAUCUGUAUAUAUGCUAUUUUGUGUCUCUUCUAUUUACAUUACUCUAGGUACACAUUUCCACCUAUGGACAUUAAGCUAGGUUCUUGUCAUUUUUGGUAGCUACAUGGCAUUCCAUCAUAUCCGUAUAGGCUAUUGUCCUUUAUAAACCAUCAUUUUGAGUUGCAUAAGAAAGAAAACUAGCCUACACUAAUACUUUGUGUUAACUGUUUUCAAUAAUAAAAUAAUAUCUGCUGCUGCUUUGUAAAUUAAGUUUGAAAAAAUCAUGUAUUCUUAAUCUGGUUUACUCAUAUUUUCUUUUCUAAAACUGGGCCUGCUCAUUUUGUGUGUUUUCUAAGUGCCAUUUGUAUUUAAGUUUUUUAAAGUAUGCAAAUAGGUCAAGGUAUAAAUAAUAUGAAGUAUGAAAUUAUUUUGCAUUGAAAACUGUGAAACCCACUUACUACUGAUGCAAAAUGUGUGCAUAUUUAUGUUCCUGAUCAUUCUUUGUAAUUCAUCUCUUUGAUCAUGGCUAUUCUGCAUUUGAAUAUAUAAAAAGGGCUUUGGAAAGUAUUAUUCUUUUCCACCUUCAGUCUGAAAAACAGAGGGAAAGAGUCUUAAACAAAGGUGAAUACCUCCAAAGUUCAUUCAAUACUUCUCAAAAUGUCUCAAGAUUUAUGUCUUUGGGAAAAUUAAGCCCAGAGUGGUAAUCUAAUGAUCAUUUUGUGGUGUUUCAGUAUCUUAUUUUUCUUGAAAUUCAUUACUAUAAGAAAAAGCAGAUUUAAAAAUUUUUUCUAGUUCAUAUUUGAAUUAGGUAUUGAAUGGACUGCUUUGCAUCCAGAGAAAACUUUAAAGAGCAACACACUCAUAAAUUGAGCUUUUUAAUCAUUGUUAUUUUUGUAGUUUCUUCAUUUUAACAUUUGAAAAUCACUAACCAUGGAUGCUGUGUAGAACUAGGAGUAGGUAAGAACUGAAGAGUAGAAGAAACUUCUCAUGGGUAGCAUUUCUUGCCCAAAUUGUUAAUAAUAACUAUCAUUCAUUGAGCCCUUACUCUAAUUGGCAUUGUGCUAAGCAUUAUUACUACAUUAUAUCAUCUAAUUCUUAUGACAGUUUGGUGUUAUUACCCCCAUUUUACAUAUUGGUAAACAGAGGUUUGGAGAAGUUAGGUAACUUGCCCAAGGUCACACAGCUAGCAGAAUCAGAAUAUAGAGCUUUAAUACCAAAGCUUAUGCUUUUCAUACACCACACUGCCUCUGUUUGGCAAAUCACUGAGGGAGAGGACAGUAGUUUACCUUUGGAAGGGUCUCAUAGGGGAGAACUACAUAAAGGGUGCAGUGGUUCCUAUGAGAAGAAUAUAAGUCCUUUUAUUAAUUGAAAUGUAACAUCUAUUCUGGACAUACAAUUUAGUAACUUAUCCCACAUUGAAAGAUAAAGAUUUUGAAUGAAUGCAGUGGGCUUAUUAAAGAAAAAGAAAUUACUGAUUAUUUACAUAGUUUUCAUGUUUUUUAAAAAGAAGCCUUCUAAAAUCAAGCAUGUCACAUAUUACACAUACCUGUCCCAGAAAAAGACAGAUGAAUUUGUUUAUGGUGAGCAGAGAAAUGAAACUGGUAUCACGAUAAUACAUUUCCUCAUCAAUGAUGACUCUUCAGCCUUUGGAUCAAUCUUCAUUCUUAAGAGGUUCCUGACUUGCUUAACUUGUGCAAUAGGGACUUUUUUUAAAAAAAAGAUAGAAAUUCAGAAGGCUGGCUUAAUUUGUCCUGAAAUUCUUUAAAAUUUGACCAGGUAAUAUGAUGUUUUUCAACACGGCAUACAUGAUUUGGCUGCCCAAGAUAUAUCUAUUUUGAAAGUAGCUUUGUUGAGGGAAAGAGUAUUAACAAAGGAACCUAGAAAGGUAGAAAACAUGCUAUGGUAGCCAGCCUUCAAGAUAACCUAGAAUAAUCCUCAUGUAUUGGUAUUCCCCUCGUACAUUGAAUCAGAGCUGAUUUGUGUGACAAAUAGAUUACUGUAGAAGUGACAGUGUAGGAUUUCUGAGGCUAGAUGAUAAAAGACAUUGUAACUUCUGCCUUGGCGCCUUAGAUCCCUUGCUCUAGGAAAAGCCACCUACCAUGGAUGCAAGGACCCCUGAAGACAGACCUAUGUGAAAAGAUUCUGAGGUCUCCUGCCAACAGCCAGCACCAACUUGCCAUCCAUGUGAGUGAGCCACCUUAGAAGCAGAUCUGGUAGCCUCAGAAACUGUAAGAGGUAAUAAAUAGUUGUUGCUUUAAACUGCUAAGUUUCAGAAUAAUAUGUUACACAGAAAUAGAUAUCUAAUAUAGAUGUUGCUACCUGGAAGUGAGAUUCAGCCAUAACAAAAUCCUAAGAUGCAUAAGUAACUUUGGAACUGGACAACAGACUUUGGGGAGAGUGUUAGUGAAAGCCUAAAGUACCUUGAAGAAACUGUUAAUAGAAGUAUCCCACUCUUUUAUAUGGCUACAGGUGAAGACUUGCAAAAAAAUGAGGUAAUGUACCUUGGAAACUGGAAGAAAGGCAAUCCUUAUUAUAUAGUGGCAGAAAGUUCAGUAACACUGUUCCCUGCAGUAACCAAAAGGUAGAAAAUGUGUCUAAUGAACUGGGUGAUCUAGCUAGGGAGAUUUCCAAGCAAAGGUUUAUUCUUGUUGCUUGUAAUAAAAUGUGAGAGGAGAGAGGUAAACUAAAGGAAGAACUGUUAACAGUUCAAACAAAAAGGAGACAGAAUUUGAUGGUUUUGAAAAUUCUCACCUUCUCUGAAUGACAAACAAUGCUAAAAUUAAGAUGUAGCUUCUGAGCUACAAAUCCAGCACACUGCUAGUAAAACAUGGUCCUAAGAUGAAGCCAAGGGAGUGAUUGUAAAAUCUUUUGUUACAGUCUCAGAAAGAUUUAAGGUUGUGCAUCAGAAUACUAUUUGGCCAGACAAAAAGUCCUCUAAAGAGAUUAAAGGUAUGUGUCACACAGUCUCUCAAUAAAAUGAUAAAGCACCUAGGAAGCUUAAGGGCAUUGUCCAUCAGUUAUGUCACCAGAAGCCCAAGGUAGAGAAGAGCUUAUCUGAAAGAUAUUUGUAGGUGUGGCUUUCAUCUAAUGGAGUGGACCCCAAUAACAUUCAUGGAAGGCUCAUAACAUUUAAAAAAUAAAUAUGUAUGAAUAAACAUUGCCAUCUUGGAUCAAAAGGGAUAGAGAUAGUACAAAACGAAAAGAGGUCUUUGGACCCUCAAAGUUCCACUGGCAAGAAGUAGGCUGAGAAAAAUUCUCAGUGGUAAACAUGGACUCUUUCAUUAAAAAAAAAGGGAGAAAGGGAGGAUGACUCAGGGGUCAGAUCCAAAACUCCAGAACAUGGAGCUGAGAGCCAGGGAGAAUUAUUCCCAGGAUUUGAGACUUAAUCAAGGAAUGUUCAACAUUUGUUCAGCUGGUUUUCAGAAUUAUAAUGGACCAGUGACUCCUUUGUGCCCGCCAUUUUCCCUCUUUUUGAACAGUUACCCUAUUACACCUGUCUCACCAUGGUGUGUUGGGUGUAUGGAGGGGCACAUAAGUUGUUGUUUUAGUUUCACAGGGGGAGAGGAACUGUACUCAAGGGGCUGUACUUAAGGAACUACACCCAAGGAGCCUCAGAUGUACCUGGACCUGAUUUAGAGGAUGAGAUGUUGGACUUUAAGCUAACGCUAUAAUGAGAUGAGACUUUUGGUGACUUCGGGAGGAAAUGAGUGUAUUUUGCAUGUGGGAGGGACAUGAAUCAUUGGAGACCAGAGGAUGGACUGUGGUAGCCAGCCUUCAAGAUAGCCCUUAAUUAUCCUUCCCUCCUUGCAUUCACACCCUUGUGUAGGCCCCUCCCACACUCUAUCACAGUUGGUCUGUGUGACCAAAAUGAUAUAGCAGAAAUGAUGGUAAGUUACUUCUGAGAAUAGGUUAUUAAAAAAACUGCACCUUCCAUUCUGGUAUCUCUGUCUUUCUCUAUCUCUAUCUCUUGGAUAAAUCCCUAUUGGAGAAACAAGCUGCCGUGUUGUAUGCAGCUCUAAGGAGAAGGCCACCUGGAAGAAUACUGAAGCCUCUGGCCAAUGGCCAGCUAGGAACUAUGUCCUGCCAACAACCAUGUGAGUGAACUUGGAAAUCAAGUCUUCAGCCCUACUCUAGCCUUGAGAUGACUGCAGACCCAGCCAAUAUCUUGACUGCAACCUCAUGAGAGAGCCUGAGCCAGAACCACCUGGCUAAGUCGCUCUUGGAUUACUAAACCUCAGGAACUAUGUGAGAUAAUGAAAUGUUUGUUGUUUUAAGAUGUGAAGUUUCAAGGUAAUUUAUUAUGCAGCAAUAGAUAACAAAUACACCAGCCCAAGAGCCAGGACUUCACAGCAGAAGCUGAGACCACAGAGGGAGGUCUGAUGCACUCUUGCAUAUUGCCCCAUCAUCAUAACACCUAGUACAGAACCUUGCUCAUAGUAAAUUUCAGUAGGUAUUAAGUGAAUGAAUGAGUGAAUGUCAAAGCCAGUGAUAGAAAUGGUAUAAAACUCUGUUACCUUCGUCUAUAUUACUAUUAAAUCCCUUAUAUACUCUUUGUAGAACCAAGAGAUUCUAGAAUAAUCUUCCUAUUUUCUUGGCUGGUCACAUCUUUUGAACUCCUCUGAACCUUUUCUUGGGGGAAGAGAACAAUAAAAUUGCAAACCGGUUUGUAUCUUGGCAGGAGUAAUUAUCCUGCGUGACCAAAGUCCUGCCUGGAACCUUUUAGCAGGAGGAGGAGGUUCAGCAAACUGCACUUGUCUCCUCUCUCAACUUUGGCUAUUCUGAGAAAAAUCAUCUGCUCAAUAAGAAAGGAAUGCUCAGCAUUUUGCAGAAGUGAUUUCCUCUACUUCCCUAUCUUCCUUGCUGAUACCUUGAUGGAGGGAAUAAAUGUGAAACAGAAAGAAAGGAUGUUCUCAGAUAAGCUCCCCUUAAUUAGUUCAGGCCUCUUCACUUCCUGCCUGGAUUACAAUGCCCCCAACAAGUCUCUUGGCAUCUUGUUUCUAAAAACAAAUCUUAGCUCAGCACUCUCAUGUUUAAAGUUUUCAGUGGUUAUUCAUCCUCUUCUGGACGAAAUCCAAACUCUUCAUGAUUUGGCCUUGAGGGUUACUUCUUCAGCCAAAUCUUUUCUUACCAACACCAGGCUUUCCAGUCCUCCCCCUAUUCCUUCUGUCCCUCUCCUUCCCCUCUCAUCUGCAUCUUCAAGCUCAACCCAACUCAUCCUUCAAGAUUUAGUUUCAACUGCCCAUCCAGGAAGUUUCUCUUGAGCCCCUCACAAUAGAUUAGCAUACUUUACAGACCUCUUUGGCCUUGGGCAAGUUGCUCUCUAAAUCUCAGUAUCCCAAUCUAGAAAAUUGGGAUAAUAUAGUAUGUACUUACCUUAGAAGCUUGUGACAAGGUUUAUAGAUAAUUAAUGCAAAAUACUUAGCACAGGGCCUGACAUAUAUUAAGUAUUACAUAUUAGGUGAUAAAUCAUACCAAUUAUUUAAUCCGAUCUGUUUAUUAUGUUUGAGGAAACAGAUCCAGAGGAGUCAAAUGACUAUCUCAAGUAGAAUAAAGAUAGGGGGAGGGGAAUAUCUGAUUUGCUUAUGCAGGUUUACAAGCCAAAUUUCAAAGUGAGGAAAUUAGGGGGAACUGGCUUCAAACUUAAUAUUAAAAUAAAACAUUUAUUGAGAAAUAAAUGAGGUUGAGAGUAGAUGCUGUACUACUAAGAAAAAUGGCAAGUCAGGGCAACUGUCAAGAUAAUUCAGGAUAUUUGAGGCUUAGAACUGUAAAGUGUUCUUAUUGUCUCAACUUGCUAAUUUACUUCAUCUGUUUAUUUCUAUUUUCAACUAAGAGUGUCUGUGCAUUCACUAAAUAAAAUGGUUUGUAAUGCCUC
rnacentral:lncRNA from 1 species